rnacentral:rRNA from 1 species
ACGAACGCUGGCGGCGUGCCUCAUACCUGCAAGUCGAGCGGACUUUCAAGAAGCUUGCUUUUUGAAAGUUAGCGGCGGACGGGUGAGUAACACGUGGGCAACCUGCCUGCAAGACGGGGAUAACUCCGGGAAACCGGGGCUAAUACCGGAUAAUAUCUUCCUUCGCAUGAAGGAAGGUUGAAAGGCGGCGCAAGCUGCCGCUUGCAGAUGGGCCCGCGGCGCAUUAGCUAGUUGGUGAGGUAACGGCUCACCAAGGCGACGAUGCGUAGCCGACCUGAGAGGGUGAUCGGCCACACUGGGACUGAGACACGGCCCAGACUCCUACGGGAGGCAGCAGUAGGGAAUCUUCCGCAAUGGACGAAAGUCUGACGGAGCAACGCCGCGUGAGCGAAGAAGGUCUUCGGAUCGUAAAGCUCUGUUGUCAGGGAAGAACAAGUACCGUUCGAACAGGGCGGUACCUUGACGGUACCUGACCAGAAAGCCACGGCUAACUACGUG